rnacentral:tRNA from 1 species
GGUGGGUUGGCUCAGUGGUUGGAGCGUGGGUCUCGUGGACGAAAGGUUGCGGGAUCGAAUCCCACUAGAGGCUG